CCUUGACGGGGUACUCUUUAUCCUUGUAGGUCUUCAGGGUGUGGAGCUCCGCCUGGGCGUUCACCAGCUCUGCCUUCACCCCCCUCAGCUGCUCAUGGAGACCUGGCAAGCAGUCUCAGCCUCCUGGAGCUCUGUCUUGGCCUGCUCCAUCUGACUGUGGCUCCAGCUGUUGAAUGCAGCUAUAGAACUCUUACGGAGAAACAGGGUUUUCCUACGUCCUGGAGUGGCCUAUCCAGUCUCCAGACCUGAAACCAAUAGAAAAUCUUUGGAGGGAGCUGAAAGUCCAUAUUGCCCAGCGACAGCCCCGAAACCUGAAGGAUUGCAAACAAAGGUUUCUGUACCAAAUAUUAAGUUCUGCUUUUCUGAUAUAUCAAAUACUUAUGUCAUGUAAUAAAAUGCAAAUG